UACGUAGGGUCCGAGCGUUUGUCCGGAAUUAUUGGGCGUAAAGAGCUCGUAGGCGGCUUGUCACGUCGAUUGUGAAAGCUCGGGGCUUAACCCCGAGUCUGCAGUCGAUACGGGCUAGCUAGAGUGUGGUAGGGGAGAUCGGAAUUCCCAGUGUAGCGGUGAAAUGCGUAGAUAUCGGGAGGAACACCAGUGGCGAAGGCGACUUCCUGGCCUGUUCUUGACGCUGAGGCGCGAAAGCUAGGGGAGCAAACGGGG
rnacentral:rRNA from 1 species